AAGUUUAAGGCGAUACAUCAUAGAUUUUGGGUCAUUUUCACUUGGUUUUUUCUCAUAAAAUAUAACUUGCAUCGUUUCAAUAUUUUAGGAUAUGAAAGUAAAUAUAUUCAAUUAUAUUUGUGGAAGAUGAAAACACGAUUGGAACAAAAAUCCUCGAUCAAAAAAAUUCAGGAACACAAGUCUAGAUUUCGAUUAUUUAUCUCAAACUAUAAGGAUUUAAAAUUUGAAUUUUGUACCAAAUUGAAGAUCAUUAAAAAAUAAUAACUUCUGGAAGAUGAAAUUUCGAUUGGAUGUUUUGUUUAGACGUCAUUAAACUAAAUAGAUGAAAACAGGAAUUAAAAUUGUUGCGACAAUAGUACUGGACAGUAGAGUGUUGACACUUUAUCUCUGUCUCAUUCCUACACGACCGGGUGGGAUAAAGCGCUGUCCUUUGUAAGCGUGCCUCACUCCGCGGAUCACAUUCUCGGACGCAGGACCUGUGCCAGUCGCUCCGAGCGUCGUUGAAAAAUAUUCUGCGAAGUAUUUAAUUUCCCACAUUCAUUUUGUUUGAAUUUAUUUCUGUACAUAAUUGUCAGCUCAGCUUAAUGAAUUGUGUCGUUGAUCUCUGAAUCUUACGCGUCGCUUUUCCGCCGGCCGGGGCGAUAUUACGAAAAAUAAAUUGUCUCCGAUAUCGUCGUUGACAAUGUCCGAACAGAGAAGUGCGGAUGGUGUGGAGUCGACAGUUGAUAUUAUGGACUUAGAUAGUCAUGGCAUUAUUCCGACGCCGACAUCAACGACAACCCAAGAUAGAAAACCAUAUAUAGAAAACCAUAG